UGAAAAAGUUUUAAAAUUACCAUUUUACCCCUGCACUGAAUUUUCACCACAAAUGCACAUUCCAAUUCUGAAAUAUUUAGCAUUACCACAGGAGAAAAUUAUCUCGUUAUAGUCAAUACCAUAAUAUUGACAAUAUCCUUAGGCAACCAGAUGGGUAUUUUAGGUCUCCACCGUCUUAUCUGCACUUUCUAAUCCUAUUGAAGAUCCACUUACACCCUUUGGAUUUUAUCUUUUCGAGUGGAUCAACGAGUGUCCAUACAUCGUUGAGCAUUAUGGACUUCAUUUCAGACUUUAUGGCCCA
rnacentral:lncRNA from 1 species